GAGCAGGAUGGUCUAAGUACAAUGUAGCUGUGAAGUGCUGCAUUGUUUUUACUCCCUGCGCAAGAGAAAACUGUGACUUUCCGAGCCCUGCCUGCUGUGGUACCCAAGUAGCAGGGAUGCUUGGUCUCAUACAG
ensembl:snoRNA SNORA63 Small nucleolar RNA SNORA63